rnacentral:rRNA from 1 species
AGUGAACGCUGGCGGUAGGCCUAACACAUGCAAGUCGAACGGCAGCACAGUAAGAGCUUGCUCUUACGGGUGGCGAGUGGCGGACGGGUGAGGAAUACAUCGGAAUCUACUUUUUCGUGGGGGAUAACGUAGGGAAACUUACGCUAAUACCGCAUACGACCUACGGGUGAAAGCAGGGGAUCUUCGGACCUUUCGCGAUUGAAUGAGCCGAUGUCGGAUUAGCUAGUUGGCGGGGUAAAGGCCCACCAAGGCGACGAUCCGUAGCUGAUCUGAGAGGAUGAUCGGCCACACUGGAACUGAGACACGGUCCAGACUCCUACGGGAGGCAGCAGUGGGGAAUAUUGGACAAUGGGCGCAAGCCUGAUCCAGCCAUACCGCGUGGGUGAAGAAGGCCUUCGGGUUGUAAAGCCCUUUUGUUGGGAAAGAAAAGCAGCAGGUUAAUACCCCGCUGUUCUGACGGUACCCAAAGAAUAAGCACCGGCUAACUUCGUG